AAAUAAGCUGUGAUAAAGAGGAGUAAAAGUUCAAAACCAUAUUAAGAGAGAAAGGUUCGUUGGCUGAGAGACCUUUUAUAUGGAGAACUUUGAAGGUAGCUUUUGAGCUUCUUUGCUGAAAAAUGCUAAAUGUAAGCAAAGACGGUUUUUUUCAACCGUUAUUAUAUGAGAGCCCAUAAUAUUGUGGGAAAAAAGGUGGUACCGCGAGUCUUCGUCCUUUUA
rnacentral:ncRNA from 1 species